GCCAAGUGUUAGCUCGGUCGGCAGAGCUUGAGGCUCUCAGGGUCGUGCGUUCGAGCCCCACAUUGGGCA